rnacentral:rRNA from 1 species
GACCUCAAAUCAGGUAGGACUACCCGCUGAACUUAAGCAUAUCAAUAAGCGGAGGAAAAGAAACUAACAAGGAUUCCCCUAGUAACGGCGAGUGAACCGGGAAGAGCUCAAAUUUGUAAUCUGGCGUCCUCCGGGCGUCCGAGUUGUAAUCUAUAGAGGCGCUUUCCGUGCCGGACCGUGUCCAAGUCUCUUGGAACAGGGUAUCAAAGAGGGUGACAGUCCCGUACUUGACACGACAACCGGUGCCCUGUGAUACGUCUUCUACGAGUCGAGUUGUUUGGGAAUGCAGCUCAAAAUGGGUGGUGAGUUCCAUCUAAGGCUAAAUAUUGGCGAGAGACCGAUAGCGAACAAGUACCGUGAGGGAAAGAUGAAAAGCACUUUGGAAAGAGAGUUAAACAGUAUGUGAAAUUGUUGAAAGGGAAACGAUUGAAGUCAGUCGUGUCUGGGAGGCUCAGCCGGUCCAGCCGGUGUAUUCCCCCCAGAUGGGUCAACAUCAGUUUUGUCUGGCAGAUAAGGGCUGCGGGAAGGUAGCACUUCUUUGGUGUGUUAUAGCCCGCUGUCACAUAUGUUGGUCAAGACUGAGGCAUGCAGCUUGCCGCAAGGCAGGGGUUUGUCCCACUUCCAAGCUUAGGAUGUUGACGUAAUGGCUUUAAACGACCCGUCUUGAAACACGGACCAAGGAGUCUAACAUAUCUGCGAGUGUUUGAGUGUCAAACUCAGGCGCGAAAUGAAAGUGAACGUAGGAGGGAUCCGCAAGGAGCACCUUUGACCGAUCUGGAUCUUCUGUGAUGGAUUUGAGUAAGAGCAUAUAUGCUGGGACCCGAAAGAUGGUGAACUAUGCCUGAAUAGGGCGAAGCCAGGGGAAACUCUGGUGGAGGCUCGUAGCGAUUCUGACGUGCAAAUCGAUCGUCAAAUUUGGGUAUAGGGGCGAAAGACUAAUCGAACCAUUUGCCAUUAGGUGGUUAAGAGGGCUGCAGAAAGGCAGUUCCUAGUUUCAGAUCAGUGAAGCAAGAAUGUCAAAUUGCGGGGACGUCCUAAAGCUUUAAGUACCAAACGUUGGUUGAAAAUCCAGCGCGGCCGGGGUAAUGACCUAGGGUAUGGUAAAAACCUUAAAGAUUAGACAAUGGGUGAUCCGCAGCCAAGUCCUAAGUCCUGUGAUGGAUAAGGAUGCAGUUCACAGACUAAAUGGCAUUCGGUCAGAGAACAGCAACUCUGGCUUGAGAUAUAGUCGGGCCCUUGGGAAAUCCAAGGCCAUCAGGAGGAAUGUUGAGGCCACUGAUCUUUCCAAGGCCCAACAUGAGAGUCUGGUGGGGGACCUGGUGGUCA